rnacentral:tRNA from 1 species
GCGCUUGUAGCUCAACAGGAUAGAGCGUUAGCCUCCGGAGCUAAAGGCUGUGGGUUCAACUCCCACCAAGCGCG